rnacentral:rRNA from 1 species
AAACUGCGAAUGGCUCAUUAUAUAAGUUAUCGUUUAUUUGAUAGUACCUUACUACUUGGAUAACCGUGGUAAUUCUAGAGCUAAUACAUGCUAAAAAUCCCGACUUCGGAAGGGAUGUAUUUAUUAGAUUAAAAACCAAUGCCCUCUGGGCUCUCUGGUGAUUCAUGAUAACUUCUCGAAUCGCAUGGCCUUGCGCCGGCGAUGGUUCAUUCAAAUUUCUUCCCUAUCAACUUUCGAUGUUUGGGUAUUGGCCAAACAUGGUCGCAACGGGUAACGGAGGGUUAGGGCUCGACCCCGGAGAAGGAGCCUGAGAAACGGCUACUACAUCCAAGGAAGGCAGCAGGCGCGCAAAUUACCCAAUCCCGACACGGGGAGGUAGUGACAAUAAAUACUGAUACAGGGCUCUUUCGGGUCUUGUAAUUGGAAUGAGUACAAUUUAAAUCCCUUAACGAGGAACAAUUGGAGGGCAAGUCUGGUGCCAGCAGCCGCGGUAAUUCCAGCUCCAAUAGCGUAUAUUAAAGUUGUUGUGGUUAAAAAGCUCGUAGUUGAACCUUGGGCCUGGCUGGCCGGUCCGCCUCACCGCGUGUACUGGUCCGGCCGGGCCUUUCCCUCUGUGGAACCUCAUGCCCUUCACUGGGCGUGACGGGGAAACAGGACUUUUACUGUGAAAAAAUUAGAGUGCUCCAGGCAGGCCUAUGCUCGAAUACAUUAGCAUGGAAUAAUGAAAUAGGACGUGCGGUUCUAUUUUGUUGGUUUCUAGGACCGCCGUAAUGAUUAAUAGGGACAGUCGGGGGCAUCAGUAUUCAAUUGUCAGAGGUGAAAUUCUUGGAUUUAUUGAAGACUAACUACUGCGAAAGCAUUUGCCAAGGAUGUUUUCAUUAAUCAGGAACGAAAGUUAGGGGAUCGAAGACGAUCAGAUACCGUCGUAGUCUUAACCAUAAACUAUGCCGACUAGGGAUCGGACGAUGUAAAUAAUUGACUCGUUCGGCACCUUACGAGAAAUCA